rnacentral:rRNA from 1 species
CGCGAACGCACCUUCGGGUGUUAUUAGAGUGGCGGACGGGUGAGUAACACGUGGGAACAUGCCUUUCGGUACGGAACAACGCUUGGAAACGAGUGCUAAUACCGUAUACGCCCUUAGGGGGAAAGAUUUAUCGCCGAAAGAUUGGCCCGCGCUAGAUUAGCUAGUUGGUAAGGUAAUGGCUUACCAAGGCGACGAUCUAUAGCUGGUUUGAGAGGAUGAUCAGCCACACUGGGACUGAGACACGGCCCAGACUCCUACGGGAGGCAGCAGUGGGGAAUAUUGGACAAUGGGGGCAACCCUGAUCCAGCGAUGCCGCGUGAGUGAUGAAGGCCUUAGGGUUGUAAAACUCUUUCAGAUGGGAUGAUAAUGACAGUACCAUCAGAAGAAGCUCCGGCUAACUCCGUGCCAGCAGCCGCGGUAAUACGGAGGGAGCUAGCGUUGUUCGGAAUUACUGGGCGUAAAGCGCGCGUAGGCGGCUUUGCAAGUAGGGGGUGAAAUCCCGGGGCUUAACCCCGGAACUGCCCUCUAAACUGCAGAGCUAGAAUCCUGGAGAGGUGAGUGGAAUUCCUAGUGUAGAGGUGAAAUUCGUAGAUAUUAGGAAGAACACCAGUGGCGAAGG